CAUCAUUAUAAAAAAAAAACAACUUAGUCUUUAUGUUGAUGCAGGCAGACAAUUGAAUCUGGCCUAUGUCUUUUCAUGAAUGUAAAUGGAAUUCAUGUUUGAUUGACAAGACAGUCAAGAAAUGGAAGAAGUGGGUGUAGGUCAGAUGUGUAGGUGUAGGUCAGAUUAGCUAGAAUCCUGUAAUUGUUGCAUGGCAUGAGACCGGUCAAAAUAGUGUAUUGAAACAGCUGAUCACAAUCAGAUCACUUGAAGGGUGGGGGAUUUCUUCCUUGGGGACGACAGGCGUGAUGGGUGGGUUGGCCUUACUCGUGGAGACUGGCCCCUGGAUGCGUGACCUUGACCUUUGACCUUGACCCACUUUCAAGGUCAAACCUCAAAAAUCCUGUUGUUGGGCAUGAAACCGGUCAAAAUAGUGUAUUAUAAACAGCUGAUGACAGACAGAUCACUUGAAGGGUGGGGGGUUUCUUCCUUGGGGACGACAGGCGUGAUGGGUGGGUUGGCCUUACUCGUGGAGACUGGCCCCUGGAUGCGUGACCUUGACCUUUGACCUUGACCCACUUUCAAGGUCAAACCUCAAAAACACAUGGGGGAGAAAGUGUGACCUUGACCUUUGACCUUGACCUCAUUUUGAAGGUCAGAGAGGUCACGGGGCUUCGUUUAAGUGGUCCCGCAUCCCUAUCUACAUCCGUGAAGAAGUUGUGGGCUCGAACGACGACGUCGGAGACUUUCGGGGGCGAGAACCGUGCUUCGGGGUUCUCGGUUUCCCUCGGUCAACUUUUCUGUGCGAGAGCGUUUCAUCUGGAAUUCGUCGGCGAAGGUCUCGCCUCUCCACGACUUGCGGUCUAGUGAGAGUAGCGAUAACGGGGUCUUCGACGUUAAGUCGCCGCCAUUCGCAGAGUGGUCAAAGUUCAGAGUUGACAUUCGUGAUGCCGAGACUGGUCCAAAAUUCCUUGCUGACCCAUGUGAUAUUUCGAUGCUAUCUGAAGCGUGAAAGAGCGUAUAAAAAGUGCCAUUUUCUGGCCAUUCUGGAUGACCUUGACCUUUGACCUUGACCUACUUUUUCAAGGUCAAGGUCACCCAACCCGUCCCAGUGGGUUCCGUCUCUCUACGACGAAGACUUUAGGAGUCGUCAAUUUGUAGGGGACAAAUCGCAAAACAUGAGGGGGCAUUAACUCCCUUUAGGGGACACCGAAUCCCUUCAUUUGAAAUUCUUCGCUUCUACUAAUUACCCUCUAUGUUUUAGAAAAGGUUUCAUCCUCCUAUCAUUUACGGUUACAAAGUAGAAGUGCUAACAAUGAUUUCUGCGAAAGGUCCAAUAACUCCGUAAGGGGUCAAAGUUCAAUUACGCAGGGUGAACUGUAUUCGUUUCUCAAGAAGUACUACAUGAUGGACUAUAAAGUUUUUCGAUAAGUCUUAAGACGAAGAUUUUUUUUGACGGCAGGAAAAUAAUAAUAAUAAUAAUAAACAGAACAAUAACAAUAGGACUUUCCACUGAAAGGUGGAAAGCCCUAAUAAUAACUAGUGAUCCUAAUUGUUCGCGAACAAUUAGAGGGCUUCCCACCUUCUAGCGGUUUUUCAGUAGUGUUGAAAUGCUAAAAGCCCCCCCCCCCCCCUACCCCAUCCCACCCUCACCCAAAAAAAAAAAAAAAAAAAAAAUUGAUUUGGCUAGAAAAGAAAUUCAAAUUUGCCGCCUAAAUUUGAGUGUUGAGGUGUGUUCAAUGCUUGGUUUCGCAUUAAGUACCCGUCAAAUUUGAGGGAGAAAAGGGGUGUGGGUGUUGGGUAGCCAGCACAUAUGCACAUAUCAGGUAAAAGUGUAAUGGGACUUGUGCAGGUGUUUGGGGUGACUUUAGACCUGUUAGAUGUGAUAUUUGGAGGUGCAAAGAAACCGGAUGUGCCAUUUUCCUAGAUUGUAGUAACUGCUGGUGCAUGCUGGGAGUCUAUACAAGCCUCAUGUUGUCAGAUGUUGUGAAGAUGCACUGGAUUUGACCGUGUGUGUUGUGGAUUGUGGAAUUGAAUAUACAGUUUGUAAUGGCUCAUCCUAUGUGUUCUAAUUCACGGAGACAAUGUCUUUCAGUCAUUUCACCCAAGGAGGCAUGCAUAUACGGAUUGAUAGGCUUUGACAACAAACAACCAAAAUGGCGGCCGGUGAAUUAGAAAGUGUCUGAGUGCAUGUAGGAUAUCUGAACGGAGAAUAGGAGUACUGCAUCCCAUCUGAUCCUGCAGUCAUUUCACCCAAGGAGGCAUGCAUAUACGGAUUGAUAGGCUUUGACAACAAACAACCAAAAUGGCGGCCGGUGAAUUAGAAAGUGUCUGAGUGCAUGUAGGAUAUCUGAACGGAGAAUAGGAGUACUGCAUCCCAUCUGAUCCUGCAGUCAUUUCACCCAAGGAGGCAUGCAUAUACGGAUUGAUAGGCUUUGACAACAAACAACCAAAAUGGCGGCCGGUGAAUUAGAAAGUGUCUGAGUGCAUGUAGGAUAUCUGAACGGAGAAUAGGAGUACUGCAUCCCAUCUGAUCCUGCAGUCAUUUCACCCAAGGAGGCAUGCAUAUACGGAUUGAUAGGCUUUGACAACAAACAACCAAAAUGGCGGCCGGUGAAUUAGAAAGUGUCUGAGUGCAUGUAGGAUAUCUGAACGGAGAAUAGGAGUACUGCAUCCCAUCUGAUCCUGCAGUCAUUUCACCCAAGGAGGCAUGCAUAUACGGAUUGAUAGGCUUUGACAACAAACAACCAAAAUGGCGGCCGGUGAAUUAGAAAGUGUCUGAGUGCAUGUAGGAUAUCUGAACGGAGAAUAGGAGUACUGCAUCCCAUCUGAUCCUGCAGUCAUUUCACCCAAGGAGGCAUGCAUAUACGGAUUGAUAGGCUUUGACAACAAACAACCAAAAUGGCGGCCGGUGAAUUAGAAAGUGUCUGAGUGCAUGUAGGAUAUCUGAACGGAGAAUAGGAGUACUGCAUCCCAUCUGAUCCUGCAGUCAUUUCACCCAAGGAGGCAUGCAUAUACGGAUUGAUAGGCUUUGACAACAAACAACCAAAAUGGCGGCCGGUGAAUUAGAAAGUGUCUGAGUGCAUGUAGGAUAUCUGAACGGAGAAUAGGAGUACUGCAUCCCAUCUGAUCCUGCAGUCAUUUCACCCAAGGAGGCAUGCAUAUACGGAUUGAUAGGCUUUGACAACAAACAACCAAAAUGGCGGCCGGUGAAUUAGAAAGUGUCUGAGUGCAUGUAGGAUAUCUGAACGGAGAAUAGGAGUACUGCAUCCCAUCUGAUCCUGCAGUCAUUUCACCCAAGGAGGCAUGCAUAUACGGAUUGAUAGGCUUUGACAACAAACAACCAAAAUGGCGGCCGGUGAAUUAGAAAGUGUCUGAGUGCAUGUAGGAUAUCUGAACGGAGAAUAGGAGUACUGCAUCCCAUCUGAUCCUGCAGUCAUUUCACCCAAGGAGGCAUGCAUAUACGGAUUGAUAGGCUUUGACAACAAACAACCAAAAUGGCGGCCGGUGAAUUAGAAAGUGUCUGAGUGCAUGUAGGAUAUCUGAACGGAGAAUAGGAGUACUGCAUCCCAUCUGAUCCUGCAGGUAAGUGUUUAUUUGUUUACAAUGACAGUCGGGAUGGAAUGUCAAUGAGUUCAACUGUCAAGUAAAGUUGCAUCAUCAUUAUAAAAAAAAAACAACUUAGUCUUUAUGUUGAUGCAGGCAGACAAUUGAAUCUGGCCUAUGUCUUUUCAUGAAUGUAAAUGGAAUUCAUGUUUGAUUGACAAGACAGUCAAGAAAUGGAAGAAGUGGGUGUAGGUCAGAUGUGUAGGUGUAGGUCAGAUUAGCUAGAAUCCUGUAAUUGUUGCAUGGCAUGAGACCGGUCAAAAUAGUGUAUUGAAACAGCUGAUCACAAUCAGAUCACUUGAAGGGUGGGGGAUUUCUUCCUUGGGGACGACAGGCGUGAUGGGUGGGUUGGCCUUACUCGUGGAGACUGGCCCCUGGAUGCGUGACCUUGACCUUUGACCUUGACCCACUUUCAAGGUCAAACCUCAAAAAUCCUGUUGUUGGGCAUGAAACCGGUCAAAAUAGUGUAUUAUAAACAGCUGAUGACAGACAGAUCACUUGAAGGGUGGGGGGUUUCUUCCUUGGGGACGACAGGCGUGAUGGGUGGGUUGGCCUUACUCGUGGAGACUGGCCCCUGGAUGCGUGACCU